rnacentral:rRNA from 1 species
UUUUCUUCUCCCAUGGAUGUUGACGUGAAAUGGUUUCAAUCGACCCGUCUUGAAACACGGACCA